AGAGUUUGAUUAUGGCUCAGAACGAACGCUGGCGGCAUGCCUCAUACAUGCAAGUCGAACGAAGUCUUCGGACUUAGUGGCGCACGGGUGAGUAACAUGUGGGAAUCUACCUGAAGGUUCGGAAUAACUGCGGGAAACUGUAGCUAAUACCGGAUGUGUCUGCAAAGAGAAAGAUUUAUCGCCUUCAGAUGAGCCCGCACUAGAUUAGCUAGUUGGUGAGGUAACUGCUCCACCAAGGCAACGAUCUAUAGCUGAUUUGAGAGGAUGAUCAGCCACACUGGGACUGAGACACGGCCCAGACUCCUACGGGAGGCAGCAGUAGGGAAUAUUGGACAAUGGGGGAAACCCUGAUCCAGCAAUGCCGCGUGAGUGAAGAAGGCCCUCGGGUUGUAAAACUCUUUCAUCAAUGAUGAUAAUGACAUUAGUUGAAGAAGAAGCUCCGGCUAACUUCGUGCCAGCAGCCGCGGUAAUACGAAGGGGGCUAGCGUUGUUCGGAAUCACUGGGCGUAAAGCGUAUGUAGGCGGAUCAAAAAGUUAGAUGUGAAAUCCCUGGGCUCAACCCAGGAACUGCAUUUAAAACUAGUGAUCUAGAAUUUGGUAAGGGUUAGUAGAAUUUCCAGUGUAGAGGUGAAAUUCGUAGAUAUUGGAAAGAAUACCAGAAGCGAAGGCGACUAACUAGGCCAUUUUUGACGCUGAGAUACGAAAGCGUGGGUAGCAAACAGGAUUAGAUACCCUGGUAGUCCACGCAGUAAACGAUGAGUGCUAGUCGCUGGUACAAUAGUAUCAGUGUCGAAGCUAACGCAUUAAGCACUC
rnacentral:rRNA from 1 species